rnacentral:rRNA from 1 species
CAACGGCAUAGCUGGGUAGCUAUGUGUGGACGGGAUAAGUGCUGAAAGCAUCUAAGCAUGAAGCCCCCCUCAAGAUGAGAUUUCCCAACUUCGGUUAUAAGAUCCCUCAAAGAUGAUGAGGUUAAUAGGUUCGAUGUGGAAGCAUGGUGACAUGUGGAGCUGACGAAUACUAAUCGAUCGAAGACUUAAUCAAAA